GUGGGGAAUUUUGGACAAUGGGCGCAAGCCUGAUCCAGCCAUGCCGCGUGCAGGAUGAAGGCCUUCGGGUUGUAAACUGCUUUUGUACGGAACGAAAAGACUCUGGUUAAUACCUGGGGUCCAUGACGGUACCGUAAGAAUAAGCACCGGCUAACUACGUGCCAGCAGCCGCGGUAAUACGUAGGGUGCGAGCGUUAAUCGGAAUUACUGGGCGUAAAGCGUGCGCAGGCGGUUAUGUAAGACAGAUGUGAAAUCCCCGGGCUCAAGCUGGGAACGGCAUUUGUGACUGCAUAGGUAGAGUACGGCAGAGGGGGAUGGAAUUCCGCGUGGAGCAGUGAAAUGCGUAGAUAUGCGGAGGAACAACGAUGGCGAAGGCAAUCCCCUGGGCCUGUACUGACGCUCAUGCACGAAAGCGUGGGGAGCAAACAGGAUUAGAAACCCGGGUAGUCC
rnacentral:rRNA from 1 species